AGAUGCCCCCUUCCUCCCCGCUUUGUUUCUGUGACAUUCCUUUCGGCUCCAACCUCAGAAAGCGGAGAGAACUUGGAGCAACUCCCGGGUUUCGGUUUUCACUGGGCUCCGUGGACUACGUUUUACAGCACUGGGGAGAAGGGUUUGUGUGUGUAGGGAGGGACAUCCGACUCUCUCCGACUUACCUGCUUAAAGCGGGGAUAUGAUUCCCCGCUUCGCUAGAAUGGAAGAAUUUGCUUUCAGAUGAUCUGCUGCAACACCACUUGGAGAACUGGACCUUACCCAUCGCUCCAGAUUUGUUUGAAAUCUGCUGUUGCAGAAGGAGGUGAUCGCCUUCUUACAAGACCUGUCCUUUGGCAAAUAAGUUGUUCUCACUUUUCCGUGUGGUCCCUCCCCUAUUCCUGUUUCCUUUUCCUUCUCCUCCUAGGUAGCACUAAGUUUAUUUAGAAGGAGCUAAUGGUGUUCUGUAACUUACUGCUCUGUUAACCAAAAAAAAAGCAAAUAUGUGUGUUCCAAAGUGACCUAAAUAAAAUGACACAUUUUUAAAAA